rnacentral:rRNA from 1 species
GACGAACGCUGGCGGCGUGCUUAACACAUGCAAGUCGAACGGUGAAGCGCCUUCCUUUUUGGUGGGUGCGGAUGAGUGGCGAACGGGUGAGUAACACGUGAGUAACCUGCCCCCUUCUUCUGGAUAACCGCAUGAAAGUGUGGCUAAUACGGGAUAUUCUGGGUCUGUCGCAUGAUGGGUCUGGGAAAGAUAUUGUUUCGGUGGGGGAUGGGCUCGCGGCCUAUCAGCUUGUUGGUGGGGUGAUGGCCUACCAAGGCGGUGACGGGUAGCCGGCCUGAGAGGGUGGACGGUCACACUGGGACUGAGACACGGCCCAGACUCCUACGGGAGGCAGCAGUGGGGAAUAUUGCACAAUGGGCGCAAGCCUGAUGCAGCGACGCCGCGUGAGGGAUGGAGGCCUGCGGGUUGUGAACCUCUUUCGCCAGUGAAGCAGGCCUGCCUCGUUUGUGGGUGGGUUGACGGUAGCUGGAUAAGAAGCGCCGGCUAACUACGUG